rnacentral:rRNA from 1 species
UUGGAUUUCGGGUGGGUUCCAGCGGUCCGCCUAUGGUGAGUACUGCUGUGGCCCUCCUUUCUGUCGGGGACGGGCUCCUGGGCUUCACUGCUCGGGACUCGGAUUCGGCGAUGAUACUUUGAGUAAAUUAGAGUGUUCAAAGCAAGCCUACGCUCUGAAUACUUUAGCAUGGAAUAUCGCGAUAGGACUCUGGCCUAUCUCGUUGGUCUGUAGGACCGGAGUAAUGAUUAAGAGGGACAGUCGGGGGCAUUCGUAUUUCAUUGUCAGAGGUGAAAUUCUUGGAUUUAUGAAAGACGAACUACUGCGAAAGCAUUUGCCAAGGAUGUUUUCAUUAAUCAAGAACGAAAGUUGGGGGCUCGAAGACGAUUAGAUACCGUCGUAGUCUCAACCAUAAACGAUGCCGACUAGGGAUUGGAGGAUGUUCUUUUGAUGACUUCUCCAGCACCUUAUGAGAAAUCAAAGUUUUUGGGUUCCGGGGGGAGUAUGGUCGCAAGGCUGAAACUUAAAGGAAUUGACGGAAGGGCACCACCAGGCGUUAAAGUUUGCUCUAGCGCCUGAAAGCCGACCUGCAAAACAGGUCGGCUAGUCAAUCAUCGAUUGGCAACACUGUCAAAUUGCCUGGAAAUCCCGCAAAGUCUCUGCCACCGCCAACUGAUUGAAAAAUCGGCAUGGCACCUUGGUUUAACUGCCAAGGUGUGGUAAAAGAGCAGAGAACAGGAUGAUGGGGCAGCCCAAGUCCUAACGCAACACUUCGUUUGCCAAUGGACGCAGU